rnacentral:tRNA from 1 species
GAGGUCUUAGCUUAAUUAAAGCUCCUGAGUUGCAUUCAGGAKAUGUAUACUAAAGUUAUACAGGUCUUC